UCUGUUUAACACUUCAUUCAACACAUACAGUCUGGCUUCAUAAGAAGCUUAAAUUAUUUACAAAAGAUUUUCUGCUUUACUUGAACUUGUAAAUAACUAAUAAACAAAGCAAAUGAUAGUUGACAUCAGAAAUAAAAAGCAUGUAAAAAAAUAGCAUGUUCCACACAACAAAAGAAAACAAGACCUUGGCAGCUCUCACCAAAAGCCUAAAUAUUUAGUUUUUUGUUCUUAUUAUAUGUAUAAUUUCUUCCCACCACAAAGGUAGAUGCAUCAAGAUUUCUUCAACUCAUGGCAGGGGUAAUAUUAAAACUUGUCCACUAGAGGGAGAGCUGGAAAGGACAUCAAGUUUUAGUCCUAAAACAUAUCCGACAACCCACUGACACAAAAGCACUUCAAUGCACUUUGGCUCUAUAUUUCAAAGCUGUACAGGAUGAAGUCAGUUUUUGUGUACAUGGAAUAUAAAUGAAGCACAGAGAAGUGAGAGGGUAGCAGCAGCUGAUACAAACAUGAGAUAAAUGAGAACAGAAAGGAGGUGGAGCUGUCAAAAACACAAGGACAACCAGUGCUUUCAGUCGUACAUACCGGCAGCAUCUGGGAUGAGACGGCAAUGAGAGAGACAAGAGAAAAGCAAUUAUGAUGACAGAUACAGAUCCAAAACAGGAGCCUCAAGGAGGAGACGAUCCACGCAGUCGUGCCCACACAAGUUUGGUGGUCGUGAUGCUUAUCGCCAUCAUCUCGACAAUGACCAUUGUCGCUUUCUUGAUCUACAAGAGAUCUCCUCGUCCCUUCCCCACCUUUGACAAUCCAUUGUACUUCAAUGGCGAAAAAUCUCAGCCUGAUGUGGUCGACACCAAUACAUUGAUCGAGAAUGCUGAAGUAUCCGAUAUCUCCCCAGAAAAUCCAGAGCCCAUUUUAAUUCUGUGAUUUAGGAGUUUCCAGAAGUUGAAGUUGUGCAAACUAGUCUGAGAUAAAUUUUGUGUAAACACAGCUAUGCUUCAGUAUUUUGUUUUUAUUGCAAACAAUAAAUAUUCAGUAAUUUAACAAUAACUGUAUUUGUUCUUUCUCUACCUAUGACAGAAUGUAUAUAUAAUUGCUACAUGUUAAGCUCUUUUUCUACAUGCUGUUUAUUGCUUUUACUGUUUGAAUGUAAAAUGGAGGACACACCCUGUCAAUGUUCAAAAAAGACAUUAAACUGUUCAUGAUGA